rnacentral:lncRNA from 1 species
UCCGACCAAGUUCGAGAUGCCUUGACCAAGCUCGGGAUGACCUGCUAGUCGACUGCGAGCUAUGGCCCUCUCGACCUCGGGUACUGCCUAAUGACAUCCCGACCAAGCUCGGGACGCCCUGCUGAGUCGACCGCGAGCAAAGCCUCCCUCAACCUCGGGAUCUACCUAACGAAAAUCCGACUAUAGUCCAAGAUGCCUAGAACAUAUAUUAUGGAUCGAAGGGCACUCGAGCCUGUGAUAACUCACGAUUCGAACAACCGAAUAUCACCAAGGGUGGAGAACUACGAUGCAGCUUCCAAUUCAUCACGACCCAAAAGCGUCUUUUCCCUCUUUUCAAAACGACAAAAUGAUUUGAAGCCGCCUAAUCUCAUCAGCAUGAUAGAAAUAGCUACUUCCUUCGCCCGAGCUCGAAAACAGCUCGAACUCGGAAAUCGGGGGCUAGUGUUGGGAAAAAAGUGAUCACCCAAUACAUAUGGUUAAAGCAUCCGAAUUUGACAGCAAGCCUGGUCUCAGCAGGCAUGACCUCAGAAGGCCGACUUUAGAAGGCCAAGUGCAGAAGGCUGACCUCAGAAGGCCUCCUCCAGAAGGCCGAGCUUAGAAAGCCUCCUCCAGAAGUCCAAGCUCAGAAGGCCUCCUCCAGAAGGCUGAGCUCAGAAGGCCUCCCCCAGAAGGCCGAGCUCAGAAGGACGACCUCGGCAGGCACAUUCUCGGCAAGCAUAGUCUCGGCUGAGCAAAGCUUGAUUGACCUCGGGGCCUAGGAAGACUUAGUUAGAAGCUGAGACCGACCCCGACUUUACCAACAGUCAAGCCAGUCUCCAAAUCGGAAUGUCUACAUAAAGAAGGGAGCUCCAAAUCCUCCAUAUUCGGGAUCAAAUCCCGCAGUCUCCG